UACGGAGGGUGCAAACGUUGCUCGGAAUUAUUGGGCGUAAAGCGCACGUAGGCGGACCAUCAAGUCGGAUGUGAAAUCCCUCGGCUUAACCGAGGACGUGCAUUCGAAACUGACGGCCUUGAGUUCGACAGAGGAUCGCGGAAUUCCCGGUGUAGAGGUGAAAUUCGUAGAUAUUCGGAGGAACACCAGUGGCGAAGGCGGCUCACUGGUCCGGUACUGACGCUGAGGUGCGAAAGCGUGGGGAGCGAACAGG
rnacentral:rRNA from 1 species